GGUGGUGCAGAAGACAUCUGAGUGGCACAGUUCUUCCCAAGAGGAGAAAAGGCCAAAGGAGAUGGAUUCCCUAGAGGCCCAGCUGGUUGGCUUGAGGCAGGAGCUGGCGGCCUUGAGCCAGAGGCAAGCUGAGGUGCAAAAAGAAUUACACCUUUGGCCAGAGAAGAUGGUGGCCCUGCGCAAUGAGGUGGAGUCUAAGGUCCCUGGCUGGAUUCAGCGGGUCCUUGGUAUUAAGCAAGAGGAGGUGCAGGCCCAGCUUCAUGACCUGGAGCACAGAAUC